AUAAGACACUUCCGAUAUGUAAUCUACAAAACAUAAUAAUUUAUCCAUGUAAAUAUAUAAAAAUUGGUGUAACUCAUUGGAUAUACAGAUACACUAGGUUUACAUGAUAAUGGUGUUUCAGUAGCUAACUGAGAAAAUUUUCAGUGAGGGAUAUACAGGCUUACUUAGUAGACAAUCAUCACCAGGGAGUUUGCAAUCAGGACAACAACCAUCAAAAGCCAUCAUACAUAUACCACAAGUUUCAUAUUGAGCUUCCCAUGUCCAUGAAGCAACUGUGUGU
rnacentral:misc_RNA from 1 species